AUCCAAACUGUUACGGGUGAGUAUUAAUUUGCUAAGAAAAUGAUGCGGGGUUUUAUUUUGGUAACCGCGUAUUUUUUUUAGGGAACGAAGAAGAAGAGGGAGCAGGAGCAGGUGGAGGCUAACGCUAGGAGUGCGCACGAAGACAAACCCAGACGCUGCGCACCCAUAGCUUAGCUGCUGGGAGCGACAGACUGUCGGUCUGGAAGAGCAGAGGACUGUGUGGCGGCGGAGGCGAAAGUUUGAGCGGUAACGGGAGUUAGCAGCGCAGGACGGCAGCAGCUAGCUAACGCAGCCGGAGCAUGCGUCGUGGCAUCAGGGAGGAGGAGGAACCCAGGGCAAUGAUGAAAUGCUGCUACAUGAACGUCUCCUUACCCAGAGCAGAGCUCCUGACCCAACAUGUGGAGGCGCCUUCCUUCAUGUGAAGUCGAGACCAACAAGGGCACGCAGGCAGAGGUUAGAGCAGCAUGGAGCAGCGCUGGCGACAUGAGGAUGCAGAAGAAACACAGGUCUCUGGGUUAUAACGGCCACUCCUGCUGCCUGCACCAAGCUGUGACCUCAUCGGGCUCUGUACUACCAAUGGGGAUGCAACUCUUACACACUCAGACGCAGACACACACCACCUUCCUGUUUGUCAGUGCUGGUGGUAAACUUUCCACUGACGGCUUCAUUCAGGUGCCGAUGAGGCGUUCGUGCGUUUUGUCUUAAAAAGUAAAACACAUGUGAACUGCAUUUCAAAAACUUUAUUUGGACAAAUGUCAUCACGCAAUGUGAGACGGCGCUUGCGUGUGUGUGGGUGCGUGGGUGGGUGGAAGAGAAAGAUGAAAUUUUGCAACUGCGGAACAAGGCGAGCAAACUAAAACCUCUUAAACUUCUGCAAGACAUAAAAAAUACAAGUUUUCAAAAGUCUGACAGCUGAAUAUUUAACACACGCUGAACUAGAAUCAAAAUGCUGCCGACGAGCUUCCUGAUAUUCUUAGCUCUCGCACGUCUUUUCACUGUCCUUCUCACGCCUCCUCUCUCAGAAAUAGAUGCCUCUCGGGGGUCAAUAUCUGCCUAAUAGGCUGCUGGUUCGUAAUUGUCCAUCAGCCUCAUCAAAUGUGUGUCAAUCACGCUUUACCGCGGCUGACGUCUUGACAGCUGUCAGAGUGAUAAUUAUGGAAAGUGAUGGAAGAUAUCAAGGUUACUUUCCAUGAGAAGAGGACAACCACAAUAUCCUUCCUGUUCAUUGUCAAAGUGUAGGUAAUGUGUCAUUCUGUGUCGAAAUGUUUGAUAGAGGAAAAAAUAUUCAGCCUGAGUAAUUACUUCAUUUGCUUUGUGUUAAUAACGGUAUUUUUAAAUGGGUCUGUCUCUACUGUAGCUCAUUAAAUAUAUGGUAACUUUAAAUGAACUGAUGCAUUAUGACACAUUAAAACCUCCAUUUCACUUUUAUUAAAUAUACUCAAAUAAAAAAAAUCAUGCUGCAGAAGAAGCAACACACAACGACUCGGUCUGUAACACAAUCAGUGGAUUUUCAGUGCACAACAUGACUAACGAGCUGCACUCAGCACUAAGCACAAACUGUACAGGAGCAGAUGGUGAGACAACGAUAGCAACCAACAGUACUUGGAGUUUACACACGUCUCAAUUUCAUCCUAGUCCCUCAACGUUGUACAAUAAAUACUAUAAAUUGAUCAUUUGUAAAAGGGAAUAUCAUAUUAAUGGAGGAGUCACUCAACCGUGUUUUCAAAAUGCACCUUGAUGUCGCCCUGCAUCACAUAAGCACGCUGUUGAAAGCGAUCGGACCCGGUGACAGACACCGGCAUAAUUAUCCUACAAAGGACGAGGCGAUAAUAAAUAGGCACCAGUUGUUACAAGCAUUUCUUAAUCAUUUAAAUACUGACACAUAGUAAAAAAUAUCAGGCACGAACAGGUCACUUUCUGGAAGUGGAUGCUCCUCACGAAUCCCUUGUUAAACGAGCGACUCCAUCACAAA